AGUCCAAGAUUCGUGACAAUGAAUAUUCUUCUUUUUUAUAUUUGAAAAUUGUACACUCGAAAUACGUUGUUGUCAGUGAAUGAAUUAUACCAACGUGUAGUGUAUAAAUACAAAGAAUCUGAGAAACAUGAAUGAAUCCAAAGAUCAACAUGCCUGUAUCAACUAUGGAUUACCCCUCUUCAAGUAUGGGCCAGCUGAUACCAAACCCUCAGAACCUUGGCGAGAAGAAAAGAAAGAAGCUCUAAAAUCAUUGGUUGAACUAUGCUGCAUUUAUAUAACCAAAGACUCUACAUUAACUGAGAGAUCAAUAAAUUAUAUUCCAAUUGACUUACACCCGCGUUUGAUGCACGCUGCUCUGACGAACGGUCGUGAUUUAGUGAUGAAUAUACUGAUGGAUAACUGGAAGGAACCUGUCCUUGUGCUCCAUAGAUUUGGUGUCAUAAAUCGAUGGAUGGCCAUUUCUGUUCUUGCUCAUUUUCAUAAAAUAAUAAAAGAGCAAUUACUGAAUUUCCCUGAUCAUAAAUCACAGCUGCGGUUUAUAGACUUGUCUGGAGCAUUUCUAGAUGUUACUGCCUUGGAGCAUCUGAAGACACUUUGCAGAGUAACAAAGAAACCAAAGACGCCAAAACCUAAAAAAGGUUCCAAGCGAAAAUAUACAUUUAAGAUUACAGACAAAUCAUGGCAAGAUGUCAAGGAUGGUGGAAUCAACUAUGGAGUCCGCUUAGAUUAUGAUUUUGGAACUGCAGAUAUGAAUAUGCGAAAUAUAUGGGUGUUUGGAGACCUCAUGAAGAAAUGUGAGCAGGAUGAAACCAACUUUACCAUACAACUUACUCGUGUUAUCCUGACGGGGGCUGUUGGGGCAAUUGGUCAUCUAAUAGUGGAGCGUUUGCAUACUGAUUAUCUCAAAGGAAUUUCACUGAGACAUGACAGAAUGGAUGAUGAGGAUUUUGUGUUCUUAUCUAAGUUCAUGAAAUGCUCCAACCUGACUACUCUAGAUCUGAGUUAUUGUGGGAUCAGGUUUGACAAGAUGUAUAAACCUGAAAGGGAUUUCAGUGUUCUAGAUAAUGAAGACUUAUCACCCAUUGAAAAGUUGAAUCUACUGAAGAAACCAGAUGAGCGGAAACUGGUGGCAUUACUGAAUGAUGUACUUGAAGCCACUCCAAACCUUGUUGCGUUAGAUCUAGGCAACAAUACCAUACGUGGACACUUAAAGGAACUUACACAUAUGCCUAGAUAUUUGGAGCUUCUAGGGUUAUCAAACUGUCAGCUAAUCAACGAGGACCUUGACUUUCUCUCUCAGGCAGCGUAUACACAGAAUCUUAAAGUUAUCGAUCUCAGUACUGACAGAAGAUUUGAAGGUGAUACAGUGCAGAUGUACAAAAAAAUCUUUCAGGUUAUAGGAGAGAAUCUUAAACAGCUGGUUCUCAGCUGUCCCUAUCUCAAUACUACUAUAUACUCAGAGUUAUUCAGUGCACUGUUGCCAUUGAAACAGCUGGAGUUGUUAAAUAUGAGUGGAGUCCGUCUUAGUGAACUUGAACAAGAGUGUUUGCACAACAAAUGUCGGCAAUUACCACAUCUCAAGGGCACAUCGAAUGUACUGUACGAUGCCCCCUUUAUGAAUGAAACAUAUGAAGAUGACUCUCAGGGCUAAUGAAAUUAUUACACUAUCAAUGUAAAUAUCACAAUUUAUGCAGUACUUGUUAGCAUAUGAUUUAGUGCAAUUUGCUCCAUAAACUGCAAGUUAUAUACAGGACUCAUUAAGGAUCCAAAAGUCAACAGUACAAAAUGUAAAACAAAGUUUGAAGCAUUGAAUAACUUACAUUUCUUGUGCCAAAUAUUAGUGGAAUCAUCAUGACCACUUUCCUCCAAACAGAACUAUCAUAAUAAAAUAUAAACAGAACUAUCUCCAAAAAGCUCACAGCGCCCUACUGAAGUUUUUAAGGGUAAAAAUAGAUUAAACUAAAAAUGAUGCGAUAAACAAUUGUUUAUAAAACUAUUCCUGCAAUAUUUAUGUUUUGUAAAUGAGUACAUGUACAAGUAUACAUUUGGUGGCAACUUUAUUUCUAAACAACUAUAUACAGUGUACAGUAAAACCUAUCUAAUUUGAACGCCAUGGCAGAUAAAUGGAACUGAAAAAGUGUUCACAUUGAUUUCAGAUUAGAGAGGUGUUCAGAUAUACAGAUGUUGCUUAUAACAUGUAGGUCAAUGGAACUUGAUAAUAUUGAAAACUGUUUCAUGCAGGAAGGUGUUCCUCAAAGAGAAGUGUUCCAUAGUUAAAGACAGAUUUUAUCUCACAUGAAUGAUAUUCUACUUCUACUUAAUUUGGCGGAUCCGCCAAAUUGUUAAAGUCUGCCAAAUUAAGUAGCCACCAAAUUCCCCAGUAAUUUUAGAAUUAUGUAAAUUAGUAC
rnacentral:misc_RNA from 1 species